ACUGCUCAGUAACACGUGGACAACCUACCCUUAGGUCGGGGAUAAACCCGGGAAACUGGGUAUAAUACCCGAUAGAUCUCGUUCGCUGGAAUGCAUCGAGAUCUAAAGCUCCGGCGCCUAAGGAUGGGUCUGCGGCCUAUCAGGUAGUAGUGGGUGUAGCGUACCUACUAGCCUACGACGGGUACGGGUUGUGAGAGCAAGAGCCCGGAGAUGGAUUCUGAGACACGAAUCCAGGCCCUACGGGGUGCAGCAGGCGCGAAAACUUUACAAUGCUGGCAACAGCGAUAAGGGGACCUCGAGUGCCAGGUUACAAAUCUGGCUGUCGUGAUGCCUAAAAAGCAUUGCAUAGCAAGGGCCGGGCAAGACCGGUGCCAGCCGCCGCGGUAACACCGGCGGCUCGAGUGGUAACCGCUAUUAUUGGGUCUAAAGGGUCUGUAGCCGGCUGACUAAGUCUCUUGGGAAAUCUGGCAGCUCAACUGUCAGGCUUUCAGGAGAUACUGAUCGGCUCGAGACCGGGAGAGGUGAGAGGUACCUCAGGGGUAGGGGUGAAAUCUUGUAAUCCUUGAGGGACCACCAGUGGCGAAGGCGUCUCACCAGAACGGAUCUGACGGCAAGGGACGAAAGCUAGGGGCACGAACCGGAUUAGAUACCCGGGUAGUCCUAGCCGUAAACGAUACUCGCUAGGUGUCGGCCACGGUGCGACCGUGGUCGGUGCCGUAGGGAAGCCGUGAAGCGAGCCACCUGGGAAGUACGGCCGCAAGGCUGAAACUUAAAGGAAUUGGCGGGGGAGCAC
rnacentral:rRNA from 1 species